rnacentral:rRNA from 22 species
CACCGCGGUUAUACGAGAGGCCCGAGUUGACAGACACCGGCGUAAAGAGUGGUUAAUAAUGAUUAAACUAAAGCCGAACACCUCCAAGGCUGUCAUACGCGCCUGGAGGCAGGAAGACCCCCGACGAAAGUGGCUUUAACCUAUAUGAACCCACGAAAGCUAGGACA